rnacentral:rRNA from 1 species
GUAGGUGAACCUGCGGAAGGAUCAUUAACAAAGUUAAUAAACUAAUAACUAACUGAACAUAAUAGUGUGGGUAACUGCACUAUUCAAUUGAAAAAAUAAAAAAAAACCAUAACUCAAUUAAUGGUUGAUAAAAACUUAAAUUUUCAACGAUGGAUGUCUAGGCUCCCAUAUCGAUGAAGAACGCAGCAAGAAUGCGAUAUGCAAUGUGAAUUGCAGAACCACGAAUCAUCGGAUCUUUGAACGCAACUGGCGCCGACCUCAAUCGGCAUACUUGUUUCAGUGUGCUCAAACAACUAAACAAACUUAAUGUGAGAGAAGUUCUCUCAUGAAGUAUAUGCUCCUUGCAGCAGUCACAUUUAUUUGUGAGCUGUGUGGAAUGAAAAAGCCUUAUUUGCACCUGAAAUCAAGUAAGAAGACCCGCUGGACUUAAGCAUAUUACUAAGCGGAGGAAAAGAAAUUAACAAAGAUUGCCUUAGUAAGGGCGACUGAACCGGCAAGAGCUCAAAAUUGGAAUCGGAGAUUCAAAGAAUCUUCGAAUUGUAAUCAGGAUCGCCGAAAUACGAGAAAUCGUUUAAGUACGUCGAAACGUACGCCAUAGAGGGUGAAAGUCCCGUGUAGCUUUUUCUCGAAACAGGUGAUUCCAACAAGAGUCGGGUUGCUUGGAACUGCAGCCCUAAGCGGGAGAUAUGAAUCUUCCAAAGCUAAAUAUGGAUGGGAGACCGAUAGCAAACAAGUACUGUGAAGGAAAGAUGAAAAGGACUUUGAAAAGAGAGUGAAAAGAUCUGAAAUCGUUGAGAAGGAAGCGGUAGAAACUGAUGGUCGUGCUGAUGGAUAUCGCGGUUUUACUGCGUAGUUCCUACCAGAGCGACGGGCAAAAUGAAGUUGAAUGCGUCAAAAAAGGCUCUGCCGUGCAAGGCGUAUUCAGCUUGAGGGACUAUUGUGAUUUUGCCAAAAUGGUUUUUACCGUCCCGUCUUGAAACACGGACCAAGGAGUCUAACCUAUAUGCGAGUGUGCGAGUGGAGAAACUCAUACGCGGAAUGAAAGUGAAAGGUGCGCAGCGCAAGCAGCAGCAUCGACCGACCUAGUACGAAAGGUUUGAGUAAGAGCAUAUAUGUUAGGACCCGAAAGAUGGUGAACUAUGCCUGAGUAGGGUGAAGUCAGGGGAAACCCUGAUGGAGGCUCGUAGCGCUGUUGACGUGCAAAUCACUCGUCAAACUUGGGUAUAGGGGCGAAAGACUAAUCGAACCAUCUAGUAGCUGGUUCCCUCCGAAGUUUCCCUCAGGAUA